AUGUUGUUCAUCCUGGCCAUCGACCCGUUGCAGCAGAUUCUCUGGCUCGCCACCCAGAACGGCAUUCUUAAGCCCAUCAGAGCACGCUCUGCAAGAUGUAGAAUUUCACUCUACGCGGAUGAUGCUGGCAUUUUCGCGAAUCCGGAUAAGGACGAGCUCCGGGCUGCUAUCCUCUCGGCCUUUGGGAGGGCUAGCGGCCUCGUCACAAACCUGUCCAAGACCGAGGUUUUUCCGAUCAGGUGCGGCAACAUUGACCUUCAGGACGUGCUGGCCGACUUCCCAGCCAAGAUCGUUGCCUUCCCGGGCCGCUACCUCGGGCUACCAUUGCACUUUCGCCGGUUGCGCGGGAUCGACCUGCAGCCCUUCAUCGACAAGAUUGCUGGCAGGCUACCGGGAUGGAAGGGCAAGCUUUUCAACAAGAUCGGCCGGGUCGCCCUGGCUCAGUCGGUCCUUACGGCCAUGGCAAAAUUUCACAUCACCUCCCUAAGCAUACCAAAGGGGACCCUACGUAAGGUUGACAAAAUAAUACGCGACUUCGUCUGGCAAAAAGAGGACCAAACUUAGACAUCUGGUGGGCACGCCUUGGUUAGCUGGAAGACAGUCUGUCGCCCCAAGCAUCUGGGCGGUCUUGGGAUCAUGGACCUUGAGAGAUUUGGCCGGGCGCUUCGCCUCCGUUGGCCUUGGCUUCAAUGGACGGACCCAGACAGGCCUUGGGUGGGUUCCGAGCUGCCCUGCGACCAAGCUGACCUGAACCUAUUUCACGCCUGCACUACCAUCUCGUUGGGCAAUGGGAAAAAGGCUCUCUUCUGGCAUGACAACUGCAGUGGUAAAGGGCCCCUCAAGCUUAUUGCACCUGAGCUUUUCAAGAUAGCCUCCAGGAAAAACAGAACGGUGCACCAAGAAUUAUCAAACGAGAGUUGGAUCAGGGCGGUCUCUAGCCUUCGGUCCAUGCACCAGCUGGGGGAAUUCGUGUCUGUAUGGGAGUGGAUCAGCCAGACCACCCUGUUACCGACCAACGAGGACCAUAUUUCCUGGAACCUGACUACCAACGGGGCUUACUCCUCUGCGUCGGCAUAUGGGGCGCAAUUCUAUGGCUCUCAUCCUAGGUUUAACCCUCCAAGGUCCAGUCCGCUCAUGCCGAACCCAAGUGCAAAUUCUUCGCCUGGCUGGCCCUCCAUGGGAGGAUUUUGA
rnacentral:rRNA from 1 species